GUAGGGGGCGAGCGUUGUCCGGAUUCAUUGGGCGUAAAGCGCGCGCAGGCGGCGGCGCAAGUCGGCCGUGAAAUCUCCGGGCUUAACUCGGAGGGGUCGGGCGAGACUGCGCGGCUGGAGGCGGGUAGAGGGCAGUGGAAUUCCGGGUGUAGUGGUGGAAUGCGUAGAGCUCCGGAGGAACACCAGUGGCGAAGGCGGCUGCCUGGGCCCGGCCUGACGCUGAGGCGCGAAAGCGUGGGGAGCGAUCCGGAUUAGAUACCCGGGUAGUCCACGCCGUAAACGAUGGGCACUGGGUGUCGGGGGUAUCGACCCCCCCGGUGCCGGCGCUAACGCAAUAAGUGCCCCGCCUGGGGAGUACGGCCGCAAGGCUA
rnacentral:rRNA from 1 species